AAUCUUACUUUUAACAAUCUAUCAACCGGGUAUUUUCAAUACAUUUAAAUUAUUGUUUAUGGAAUAAACUAAGACUAUGUAAUGGUGGAUAAAUAGUGUAGUUACAUACUAGUUUCAUUUUAUAUAGCUUGUGAAAAUUCAAAAUGAUUUCACGCCGCAACAACCGCAUUACCGUUGCAGCAACCGCAAUGACCACAUUCGCAACGACUGCAACCGAAUUUAAAACCUUGGAGUGGGUAUUGAAUUGCUCAAACAUAACACCAAUAUCCCCCGAAGAAGCUGCUAGAACUGCUUAAAAAAAGAAAAGUGAAACCGUCAGGACCAGGGCUUUUAUUACCUUCACAACUAGCCACUGCCCCAUCAAAACCUUGAUAUUAUCAAUUACCACCUCAAUUCGAUGAUCAUGAUUAUCAAACACCUCCGUACUCCACUUCUUGAGAUCACCUUUGAGCACUUUAUGUUUUUCUUUAAGGGUGAAAGCCAUCCUACCAAAAAUCUCAUAACUAUUCCAACUACGGGAGAUCACCUCUUUGAAAGUGCUUCGGGCCCCAAAGUUGCGAAGAGUACCUUAAGACUAGAGGACAAUAAUUAGAAAAGCCCAACAAUUAUUAUUCUACCGAUUAAUUAUGUAACCAUUCAUAGCUAAACUUUAUAAAGCAAGGUACUUUCCGAAUUCCUCUCUUUUUGAAUCAAAAAUUGGUCAUAAUCCUAGUUAUGUUUGGAGAGGUAUUUGGAAAUCUCGGGAAAUUCUUAUGAAUGGUUGUAGGUGGAGUAUUGAAAGUGGAACUAGCAUCAAAAUUAUGGAUGAUCCGUGGCUGAGAGGACAAGGUGCUGCAUGGCUGCCUUCUCCACAAAACCAAGGCAAAGUAAGCACUGAGUUGCAGCAGCAAGAUUAUGGUAGUAUUUGGACGAUCCUUACUCCACCAAAAGCAAAGCAUCUAUUAUAGAGGAUUAUUAAAAGGUGCAUUCCUACCCGUAUGAGGUUACAAGAAAGGCGUGUUCCUUGUCCGUUAAUAUGUCCACUUUGUAAUCAACAUAACGAAGAUGAUUGGCACGUGUUUCUCGGAUGCGAAGUAAGCAUUCAGGAUCGGCAAGUAGCUGGUUUAACGCAGGCCAUUGCAUCGAGGUAAUUUUGCAAUGAUGCUAUGGGUACUGUAGAACAAUCGGAAUGAUUGGGUUUGGAACAAUAUGAGCGAACCAGGGACAAAGUUGGUAGACAAAGCUCGAUACCUAUGGGCUGAUUGGUUUUCCAUUACACAGGUACAGCAAAAUCAGGUUCCAAUAGAACAACAUCAGCAGGUUAUACAUUGGCAAAAACCACUGCAAGGAUGGUACAAGUGCAAUGUCGAUGCAGUGUUUCACAAAGAGCAAAAUAUGACCAGUUUUGGUUGGUGUCUUCGCGACGAUGUGGGGAGAUUUAUCAAGGCAGAGACAGCAUCGAUGAUCCAUUGCUGAAGGAGAAUCCAUAGCCUUACUUUAAGCAUUGAAAGCAUUGGAACAAAGAGGCAUUUCUCAUGUUAUUUUUGAGACGGAUUUUAAGAGCGUGGUGGAUGCAAUUCAUCAUUUACGUGGUGGAAAUUCUGAAUUUAGUUCUAUUAUUUGUCAUAUUAAGCAUAUUUUGUUAUGUAAUCCAAAUUUUCGGGUUAAGUUUAUUAAGCGGCAAGCGAAUAUGGUUGCUGACACCCUUGCUAGGGCGGCCAUUUCUUGGUCUAGUCGUUGUACUUUCAAAGUUUUACCUACAUGUAUUACCUUAUUAUUGAAUAAUGAAAUGAACUAGUUUGU